rnacentral:tRNA from 1 species
UCCCUGGUGGCUCAGAGGUUAAAGCGUCUGCCUGCAAUGCGGGAGACCCGGGUUUGAUCCCUGGGUUGGGAA